rnacentral:rRNA from 1 species
GACGAACGCUGGCGGCGUGCUUAACACAUGCAAGUCGAACGGAAAGGCCCUGCUUUUGUGUGGUGCUCGCGUGGCGAACGUGUGUGUUACCCGUGAGUAACCUUCCCUUUACUUUGUGAUAUCUUCAGGAAACUGGUGCUAAUACCUGCUAGGUGCUCCUGCUGCUUGGUGGGGUUUGGAAAGUUUCGGCGGUUGUGUAUGGACUGCCGGGUUAUCAGCUUGUUGGUGGGGUAGUGGCUUACCCAGGGUUUGACGGGUAGCCGGCCUGAGAGGUUGACCCGCGACAUGGGGACUGAGAUACGGCGCAGAGUGCAACGGGAGGCAGCAGGGGGGAAUAUUGCACAAUGGGGGGAAGCGUGAUGAAGAAACGCGGCGAGCGGGAUGAAGGCCUACGGGUUGUAAAGCGCAUUAGCCUGUGACGAAGCGUGAGUGACGGUAAUGGGUAAAGAAGCACCGGCUAACUACGUG